AUUAAGUAAAACGUAUUAGGUACAUGACAACAAAUAUUAGCAGACAUAUUUUUAUAUCAACAAAUGUUUGGCAAACAAGACAUUACACAUUUAUGUACGUACAGACCAAGAGAGCACUCAAAGUCAAGCUAAACUUCAACCUACAUACAUGAUACAUACGUGCGGCUCAUCAUUUAUCAUCGCAUUCAUGCAUACAGACAUUACUCUAUACUAAAAUUCACUAAAAACAGCAAAGCAAACAUAUAUUCUAAGCAGCAGAAAGAGACCAAAGUUUGGUUUUCAAAAUUUCCUCAUUCGGUCAAGUACGUACGAGGCGAGAAGAGUCGGCGAGGUGACAACAACCCCAUGUAGCGAGGCGAGAAGAGUCGGCGAGGUGACAACAACCCCAUGUAGCGAGGCGAAGCGAGACCCUCGAUGGACCUAUAUUCGGAUAUCAUAAUGAACCCCUCUCUCUCCCCCCGCCGGCC
rnacentral:lncRNA from 1 species